AGGAGGAGACCGGGAGGCUUGGGCUCAACACAGUUGAUCCAGAAGUUGGCACAGCUGGCGUGGUACUGGUGUCCUCCAUAGGCCAGCUUGAAACUGUCUGUCUCCGAGUUGAAUGCCUGCCAGAAAUAGAUGUGGGUCAAGUCAGGUUCUCCCUGCAUCUAAGAGCUUGUCAGCAGCCACCACAGGCAAUCCCCAGGUGUCACAGAGGCUGAGGCCUGAAGGGCACACACAGACAAAAGCUGAGCAGGUGGCUAUAGGAUUCAAGUAGGAAAGUCUUAUUUAUUUAUUUUUUUAUUACUGCUAAUUAAAGGUAUAAAAUCAGUACCAUUCAACCUAGUUUCAGCAAAGGGCCCAAUCUUCACAGAAAAGGCAGACAGAGGUUACCGGAGAGAGGAAUGAGCAGGACACGGGAACUAAAACAGCCAAGGGCUGUGGGUAAUUGGGUCCCUCACUGUAAGGGCCACCCUCCCUGGAGGCUGCCAUUACUGUAACAUGUGAACCCUUAGAGUUCCAUGGCUGACUACAGCCCUAUCAGGACUGAAAACAUUGAAAAGAGCUAGAGAUCAACUGACAUUAACUCUCACGGUCUAACACCAUGGUUCUCACCCUGUAGGCCACGACCCACUCUAGGAUCACAUAUCAGAUAUUUAUGUUACAAUUCAGAACAUUAGCGAAACUAGAGUUAUGAAGUAGCAACAAAAUAAUUUAAUGGUUGGGGGUCACCACAACAGGAGGAACUGUAUUAAAAGGUCACAGCAUUGGAAAGGUUGAGAACACUGAGUUCUAAUGCUAUCGGGAGCUGACACCUGCGUGGACGUACAACAGCCCCCCUCAUCUGCAGCUCCGGUUACCCACAGCGGGUGACAUUCUGCAGUUGGUUGUCUUAAACACCACAGACAAAACCUUAAAACCCGAAUGAUCUGUUUUUGUCUGUCAUCCUCUAAAUCCGGUGUCACUACAACCUCUGGUCUUCCGGAAGGUGCUGGUGCGUGGCAGAGAAGGAUAAGGACAACACCGGCAGCUGACUGGCAGAGACAAGCAUGCAGACGAGACAGCAGCGGCUCCACACAGACACGUUGGUUGAUUUGAUCAAACAUUAUGGGGACAAAAAUGAGUCAGUGGAGGAUUCACGAUUGGCACAGUCCAGGAUGACCACAGAAUUGUCCGUUGACCUCUCAACACACAAGACUGAGACGGAGACACUAAGAUCCACAAGAUAAAAGCUUGGCUGACCUUCACUCAGGGCCAUCAGAGCAUCCUCAAGUCACUGAAGUAGACAGCUUUUCCUGCUAGAGAAACACCUGCUUCUACCACAAGAGGGAGUUUCAGUCCACAGUCACCCAGAGCAUUAAAGGGUUUUGCUAUGUAA